rnacentral:lncRNA from 12 species
AUGAUGUUCUGGAGGAUGGACAGAUGGAUCCUCUGCUUCCAGCACCUGAGGUGCCCCGGUGUCUGGCCAUUGCUCAUGAGAGGACAGGUCACGGUACAUCACAUCAUAAUAAAAUCAAUGAGGCUAAAUGUGUUGUUCGAGCCUCUCCAGCACGUCCUCGGGGGGCUUGGAAUCGGGCCUCCUCACUGUGAAGCGCAUGUUCUUCCAACUGUGUGCUCAUCAGAAGCUGCCCAGAGCCGCAGACCAAGACCGUGGGAGGAGAGUCCUGCGGGGAACGGAACGCUUCUCCCUUCUGUAAGUACGAGUGAACUAAUCCUCCCGAGCAGGGAGGGAAAGUCGGCUUCCCCAGCAGCUGCCUCCUACGCACGCUCAGCCCGAGCACUGCACAGCCCCAAGGAGGUGUGCGAACGGAACACCUGCCUCUCUCCUAGACUGGCCCCCCUCAGCCUGGGGGUGGACGGCGGGGAGACGUACAGGUUGACCCAGUAG